rnacentral:lncRNA from 1 species
GAAAAAGGAAAAUAGACUCCCAACAGGAAUCACAAAGAGAAUUACGCCAAAAACAAAAGGGAUAAAGCAACCCAAACUCCAGACUCCCACAUGGUCCAGAAACAUGCACCAAAACCAUGCAUGCAAGAAGACAUGCAAAAAUAUGAGAGAAAUAGAAAAAACCCUAUUUCAUGAAAAAACCACGACAGUGAGACGUAAAGAAGUUAAACAAUAAACAAAAAAAGGUCGGCCACUGUGGG